UAGAGUUUGAUCCUGGCUCAGAUUGAACGCUGGCGGCAGGCCUAACACAUGCAAGUCGAGCGGCAGCACAGGGGAACUUGUUCCCUGAGUGGCGAGCGGCGGACGGGUGAGUAAUGGCUGGGAACCUGCCCUGAUGUGGGGGAUAACAGUUGGAAACGACUGCUAAUACCGCAUGAUGUCUACGGACCAAAGAGGAGGACCUUCGGGCUUCUCGCGUCAGGAUGGGCCCAGUUGGGAUUAGCUAGUUGGUAGGGUAAUGGCCUACCAAGGCGACGAUCCCUAGCUGGUUUGAGAGGAUGAUCAGCCACACUGGAACUGAGACACGGUCCAGACUCCUACGGGAGGCAGCAGUGGGGAAUAUUGCACAAUGGGCGCAAGCCUGAUGCAGCCAUGCCGCGUGUGUGAAGAAGGCCUUCGGGUUGUAAAGCACUUUCAGCAGUGAGGAAGGUUACGUAGUUAAUACCUGCGUGAUUUGACGUUAGCUGCAGAAGAAGCACCGGCUAACUCCGUGCCAGCAGCCGCGGUAAUACGGAGGGUGCGAGCGUUAAUCGGAAUUACUGGGCGUAAAGCGCAUGCAGGCGGUCUGUUAAACAAGAUGUGAAAGCCCCGGGCUUAACCU
rnacentral:rRNA from 1 species